rnacentral:rRNA from 1 species
GAUUAAGCCAUGCAUGUGUAAGUAUAAAUAAUUCUACUUUGAAACUGCGAAUGGCUCAUUAUAUCAGUUAUAGUUUAUUAGAAAAAAUGUACUACUUGGAUAACCGUAGUAAUUCUAGGGCUAAUACAUGAGUAAAUCCUCGACUUUGAAGAGGUGUGUUUAUUAGUAUGAAAACCAUAUGCUUGUGCAUGAUAGUGAGUAAUAAUAACCUUUCAUAUCGUAUGUUGAAAUAACGAUAGUUCUUUCAAGUUUCUGCCCUAUCAGCUUUCGAUGGUAGUGUAUUGGACUACCAUG